GACGAACCGAGCGAACGUUGUUCGGAAUCACUGGGCUUAAAGGGCGCGUAGGCGGGCUGUCAAGUCUGGGGUGAAAUCCCGCGGCUCAACCGCGGAACUGCCUCAGAUACUGACGGUCUCGAGGGAGGUAGGGGCGAGCGGAACUGAUGGUGGAGCGGUGAAAUGCGUUGAUAUCAUCAGGAACUCCGGUGGCGAAGGCGGCUCGCUGGACCUCUUCUGACGCUGAGGCGCGAAAGCCAGGGGAGCAAACGGGG
rnacentral:rRNA from 1 species